UCUCUAUCUUUGCUAGUCAAAAAACAAACAGUGUUAAGUUAAUAAAAAAAAAAACGUAUCAAAGGUUGAAUGAGUGAAGUAUCAAACUUUGGCCUCUAUCUAAAACCAGUAUUUACUGCUUGGCAACUGGAGGCACCAAAGAAUUAACUACCUAGAAACACACACAAACACACGGUGCUUCACUUUUGAGGAUGUAAAUCUUACUUAAAAAUGGAAUUUCCCUGGAAUUUCUCUACAGAGCCUGGCAUUCAGUCAGGCGAAGAAAACAAGAACAAGAAGAAUAAGUAGAGGAAGAGAAUGUGACAAGAUCACUAGAGCUGUCGGGAGAUUGUGAGUACGGUCCCUGGUGAUGCCAUGGCCAUCUGUGUCCAGGAUGGCCUCUGGCAUCUGUUAGCUGAUGUUACAGAACUGGCAUUUAGCAUUCUCCAAGUGUGCUUAACUAUUCAAUGAUGUUGCAUUGGAACGAUGCAGUGGUGCUUCAUGUAUAUGGGAGGAAGCUCAUGCUAGCCUUCACCCUCCCAGACUGGUUGCAUUGUGUGAUUUGGGGAGACCUAGCUAGAUGGUGAAACUAGAUAUGACUAAAUUGGUGAGAAAAUCAGGCAAAAAAAAAGAAUCACCCAAUUAUGAUUGAUAACACAAGAAACAUGAAUUCACAUGACAUAUUUGAUUACCUAAAUACUGAGCAAAAGUCAGAGACCACUCUUCAUAUAUUUAAUUUCCAGUCAAAACAACCAAUAGGAAGCAGAAGUUACCUAAUUUUUGGUAUCAGAAUUUUUUUUUUUCCAUAAUUUGGUGUCCACCCAUUGCCUAAUACAGCUUACAUUCUUUUCAAGUGACUUGCUUUCAGUUUUUCAAAGAAAUCUGCAGGAAUAUUUUACCACAUGUCCAAAGUUCAGUCUUAGAAGUUGGCUGCAUUUUCUGCUUCUCGUAAUCCAAGUAAUCCCAAACAUAUUCAGCAAUGUUGAGGUCUGGACUUUGGGGUGGACAGUCCAUUGUUCUGAGAACACCAGCAGCUGUUUUGUUUGAUUUGCAAAUUUUCUUCUUUUUUGCCUAUUUCCUCUACUCAGUAGGAGCUUCUUGACAGCUACAUAUUAUUUCAGACCCAAUGCUCCUGUUUUUUUUCACUUUCUUAUUCCUUAUGCAAGCAGACUGUCUUGGAUCUAAUCCUCUCUGAAAUAUCUCCUGAAAAAUGAAAAACUUGUUCUUUACCCUAUAAAAUCCCAGGCCUAUUACAUACUAAGGCUUAUUAUUCAGUAACUACAGGGACUUCAGCGCAAACUGGCUGAACUGUUCUUAGGUUAUAGAAGUGUGUAAUAAAACUUUAGACCUGCUGGUGGGCCCUGGCCAUUUAAGUUGUUAACAGGUGUUUUGACUGGAAAAUAAAUGAGUAAAGUGUGGUCUCUUACUUUUGCACAGUACUGUGUUUAAUGGUGUAACAAAAUAACUAUUUCUUAGUAAUUAUUAAAAAAUCAGCUCUGGCUUAAAUAAUGCUCCAAAGUCUUUUAAGCAUAAAAGAAGUAAAGCAAAUGGACCUAUAACUGUAGAUUGAGAUAACAAAGCCCUGUAUGUGCACAAAUUUUAAUGAUUAACAUACAAAAUUACACUUAAAUUACACUGAAGUACCAAAUCAAAGAGUUUCACAUAGCAGCAGAUUGGUAUGUAUAAAAGAGAAACUCCCAUCAGGUAGUAAGGCAGAUCAGACACCAAAGAGAAGUAAACUCCUCGCAGAUGAUCUCUCAGUCCCUCACAGUUUCACCUUCCCAGCAAGAGAGCUGGAGGGGUAGAGGCGCGAGAAACGGCCCAGGGUCCAAAUAGGAAACACAUUCCUGUAGGAUGUGUAGCUGAUGGCACAGCUCUUGUUGAAAACACCAGAGAUGUUUUCCUGCAACGGUGAAGAAAGGUCUGUUUGUAAAGGCACUUUUCAGUUAAAAAAAUAGCAAAUAGAUAACAGAGUGAUAGAAUAACUGAAAUCUGGGGGAGGACCAUGCCUCAAACCAAUCUUACACCCUAAAACUCCCAUAUCUUCCUUCUAUUUCCCACAACAAGGUUUUCCAGAGGUCCAGCCUUCUAACUCCAAGUAGAAGCCACUGAGAAUUCCAGCCAAGGUUCUCUUCCCUCAGUCUCUACUCAUUGUACCACCAUAUGGUAAAGGCAUGGUGCAAACACAACUGUCCUUGAACAAACAAAGACAUGAAGAAAGUAACUCACUUGUGGCCAAUCUCCAUUAGGAAGCUGCUUGUCAAUCAAAACCUGUAUUCCAUCCUCAAUCACCUUUAGGUCAGGGUACCUACAGUGAAAAUAUCCAAUGAAAAAGGUUAGUUAAAUGAACUAUAAAAGCCUAUUUCUCAUGGUCCCUUAAAUGGUUUAUGAGUAAUGGCUCAAAUCAAUGAAUCAUGAAUCAUUGAAUAAUAAUAAUAAUGAUAAUAAUAAUCAUCAUAACCAUCAUCGUCAUCAUCAUCAUCAUCUAAAAAAAUCAAUAAAUCAAUCAGUGAAUUAGCUUAAUUAAUCUGCUAAUGUGCAUUACCACAAACAACUAAAUUAAGUAAGAGUGGCACAAAUAAGUCGAGGCAGUGGUUUUAUAUAAAUUUGGGUGAAAUCAGAGAACUGAAUUUUGCAGUGUAGAAGGACCUGAGAUGCCCGUCAUUCAGUGAGCAUAAAACAGAUUCAGCUAGUAUUUUGGGUUGUAUAUCACCUGACAGCCAUCAGGCCCAGAAGAGCCCAGCAGGUGUUGUGGAUCUGUGAGUUUUUGCUCUGUACAUAGCGCCGCUGUUCACAUGACUCAAAGUCCUCUCCCCAGCCUCCAUCCUCCAUCUGCUUAGAGAGCAGGAAGUCACAGGCACGCCUCACCUCAGCACACACCAGCCUGCAGCACACAGAAGAUGCACUGAAUGAAUGAAUGAAUAAAUGAAUGAAUGAAUGAAUGGAUGUGUGGAGGAUGAACUGGUAGAGCUGUUUGAAUAAACAGCCAUCACCAACUUUCCAGAAGCCCAGAAGACAACAGCAACAAACAGAAAGCCUUUCUUGGAAAAUCUUCAAUUCCAUGAAAUCAUGAAUCUAAACUGAAAUAUGUUCACCAUACAAAUCCAUGAGAAAGGAAACUACUGAUGUAAACAAAGUUAUUCAGAGUGGUUUGAUGAGUGCCGUUCUAGAGAAACUUGCAGAGUCAGAAAUGUUCUCAGUGGUGGUGAAUCAGGAAUCAGGAAUCAGACGUCCAAAUGACUCAGAAAACUACAACACAGAAAGUUAUUACAUGAAAUUGUUACAAAUAAGCUGGGUGGUGCCUGAGGUAUUGUUUACAAUAGAUUUGAGAUAAUAUUUUGGUCUAAAAUGAUUUUUGAAAAAUAUUUUCAUGGUGAAGAGGCAGAUGCAGCAUGUUGUAAGGACAACAGUACCCAAUGAAACAGUACCCAAUGAAAAUGUUUUUUCAGGUUUACCACUACCUUAAAAUGAUCAACAUUACAUAUAAAAACUCAGAACAUGUGUAGCUUCACUGGUCAUUUUGGAUAGCAAACAAAACAGCUAUAUUAGUGUUGCAGCUCCUGAUUCCUGAUCACCACCACUGUAAAGAAGUCUGAGUUGGUACGUUUCUCUACAAUGCAAAACAAAGGCUAACUCUCAGGUGUUUAUGAGUUCAAAACAUACCCAUCAUAUCCAUCCCGGAAAGUGUGACCCAUACAUGCAAAUGCCUCCAGGCCAAACCAGACUCCAUAUGUAAAGCACACACCCCAUGAGCUGUAAAAGAUACAAAUGCAAAGGCUAUAGACUUUGUACUUAAUAACAAAAUUGUCUGUUGUAUUGUUGAAUUACAGAACGCCACAAAAAAAAAGUACAUAUACUGAAUCAACACCCACUUGAGCAAAUAACCACAGACUAAAGUACAGUAAAAUAAAAAAUCCUCUCUUCACAAAUCAGCACUGCACUGAAGGUGGAGGCCUACCCUUCCCAUGAGCCAUCAGGUCUUUGCAUCCUUCUGCAAUAGUCGAGCCCCUGCUGAAGCGUGCUCCUAUAAUAACAUAUUAGAGCUUAACUCAUGCUGUGCUUUGCCUUCAGUUUCUUAACAUGUUCUGUGGGCUGGUGCUGCAGAUGUACCUGAUCUCCUGUGCUCUGUGCUCAGGGUAAAUAUGGUGGAAGUGCUGCAGAGCUUGCAUCACAGCCGAAGUGCACUCCACAUAGGUGUAGUCGAUCAUGAUAUCACCUGUUACAGGAUACAAAGUGAGAAAAUGCCAAGCUGACAAAUAAAACCAAAGACAAACUGAAGAUCUCUAAAACAGUGCACAGAAAUUCUAAUAUAUAUACUGUUACGUGCCAUUAUAUAUGCUAUUAUAUGCACUGGGUUGCCAGUUAUUUGGCACCUUUUACCCAUGCGUUACUUUAUCAGGUCGCAAUGAUGUUUUCAGUUAUAUGCUUCAUGUACUGCACAUCGGUACAUAUAAUUAAACAGGAUGAUCUUGUGGACUCCUAACAUUGCUGGAAUUUCAGCUCAUGAUCUGUUGACAAUAACACAAAACCUUGCAAACUUGCUUUGUCAGGAGAAAUGCUCUUACCAAACACCUCUGAGGGAUUGAGCAGUUCCAGCAGCUUUCCUCCACGUUUGGUCUCAUAAGUGGCAAAACCACCAUCAGCAUUUUUCAUGCUCAGGAGCUAGAAGAAAGAAUGAGAUCUGGCCUUCAGUUAUUAUAGCCCCUAGCUCUGGAAUUCUCUACUGAAAAUCCUCACAGGCAGUGACAUUCUUUUAAAAAGUACCAUAAAACAUACUUAUUUAAUACAGCAUUUAAAGGGGAUUCAGACCUAUUUUUGUGUAUAUAUUUGGGCAUAAUUGAAUAAUUUAGAUAAACAAAGUCAUUCACAGUGGUCUGAUGUGAAAUAGUUCAUUGUAAAGAAACUGAUUCUGAAUUCUUUGAAGUGGUGAUGAUAAAACCAGGGGUCACAAUGUCUACAUCACAAAUAUAGCCAUUUUACUGACUAUUCAAAGCCACCAGGGACCCUACAUGUUUUCUGUGUUUUUUAUUUGUAAUGUUGAUAAUGGUGAAAAAUAAGUUAUAUUUUGUAUUUAAAAAAA